CCUACGGGUGGCAGCAGUGAGGAAUAUUGGUCAAUGGACGAGAGUCUGAACCAGCCAAGUAGCGUGAAGGAUGACUGCCCUAUGGGUUGUAAACUUCUUUUAUAUGGGAAUAAAAUGUUCCACGUGUGUGCUUUUGUAUGUACCCUAUGAAUAAGGAUCGGCUAACUCCGUGCCAGCAGCCGCGGUAAUACGGAGGAUCCGAGCGUUAUCCGGAUUUAUUGGGUUUAAAGGGAGCGUAGGGGGGUUGUUAAGUCAGGUGUGAAAGUUUGGGGCUCAACCGUAACAUUGCUGUUGAAACUGGCAGUCUAGAGUACGGUAGAGGUGGGCGGAAUUCGUGGUGUAGCGGUGAAAUGCUUAGAUAUCACGAAGAACUCCGAUUGCGAAGGCAGCUCACUGGACUGCAACUGACGCUGAGGCACGAAAGUGUGGGUAUCAAACAGGAUUAGAUACCCGGGUAGUC
rnacentral:rRNA from 1 species